rnacentral:rRNA from 1 species
GNNACCUGGCGGCGUGCUUACACAUGCAAGUCGAACGGAGUGUUUUCGGACACUUAGUGGCGGACGGGUGAGUAACGCGUGAGGAUCUGCCCUUAGGAGGGGGACAACUACUGGAAACGGUAGCUAAUACCCCGUAGGCCGAGAGGUGAAAUGAUUUAUUGCCUAGGGAUGAGCUCGCGUCUGAUUAGCUAGUUGGUGAGGUAAAGGCUUACCAAGGCGACGAUCAGUAGCUGGUCUGAGAGGAUGAUCAGCCACACUGGGACUGAGACACGGCCCAGACUCCUACGGGAGGCAGCAGUGGGGAAUUUUCCGCAAUGGGCGCAAGCCUGACGGAGCAACGCCGCGUGAGGGACGAAGGCCUCUGGGCUGUAAACCUCUUUUCUCAAGGAAGAAGAUCUGACGGUACUUGAGGAAUAAGCCACGGCUAAUUCCGUGCCAGCAGCCGCGGUAAUACGGGAGUGGCAAGCGUUAUCCGGAAUUAUUGGGCGUAAAGCGUCCGCAGGCGGCCUUGUAAGUCUGCUGUCAAAGAGUGGAGCUCAACUCCAUAGAGGCAGUGGAAACUGUAAGGCUUGAGUGUGGUAGGGGCAGAGGGAAUUCCCGGUGUAGCGGUGAGAUGCGUAGAUAUCGGGAAGAACACCCAGUGGCGAAGGCGCUCUGCUGGGCCAUAACUGACGCUCAUGGGACGAAAGCCAGGGGAGCGAAAGGGAUUAGAUACCCUGGUAGUCCACGCCGUAAACGAUGAGGACUAGAUGUUGGACGCAUCGGGCGUUCAGUGUCGCAGCUNACGCGUUAAGUCCUCCGCCUGGGGAGUACNGGCCGC